rnacentral:lncRNA from 1 species
CUAAAGUCUCAUUAUCCAAAAUAUCUGGCAUAUAACAAAAUAUUAGCAUUAAAUCCAAGAAGUUUGCUCAAUAUCACCUUAUGAUUUGUUAACGCAUAAGCAUUCAUUAUUUUUGUUUCAUAAUGUUUAUUAACAAAUAUAAAAUAUACUUUGGUUUUGCCAGAGAAAUAAAACACGAGAUAUCUUUUGAAAUAUUUUAUGUUGUUAAAUGAACAACAGAAUGAGCAUCUUACGUACAUAGCAACAGAUUAAUUUACAUAUAUUGAGAGAAAUAAAGGGUACACUGAAAGGUUUAACUCUGAAAGAUGAAGUGAAAAAAAAAAAAAACAUAGAAGAGCAUGAGGAAAGUGAGAAAGGAUUCAUUCAGAAGAAUGUCAAAUCACUAUUGGAAAAAAGAGAAUGAUGUUUAGACACCCAUUAUGACAUGCAACACGAGAGGAUUAGUGUCUUUAUCCACAAGGAAACCAUACUAAUAUAUAUACUAAUAAUGCAAGAUAAUAAUUAACUAUAUUUUACAAAUGACACAUCAUCAAACAAAAAAAUGACACAAAUUGAGGCUCUUAAUAUAUUAAAUCCAGUUAAUCAGUUGAAGAAAGUAGUUUGCAAGAAUAAUCUAGCUCAAUUUGAUUUAAAUCAAAACAGGUUUAUAUAUUAUAUAUGCAGGUUAAUAUACAUGCCGAAGCCUCAGGCAAUGAUAUUUAAACUGAAAAAACUCAUUGUUAUAUCUAAUAAUGUAUUGAAACGCUUUCAAAAUUGCAAAA